UAACUGCCUGGAACAUGUUGCGAGGGUUAAAAAUUAUUUGCUGGGUUUUGACAGAUGCUAAUGUCCAAAAUCCUCCCAGAGAUGAUUGACAACAAACUUAGGAAGGAAACAAAAAAAAAUAAUUUCAAUGUGGUGACAAAACAGAAGGGGGCGCAGUGUUGUUUUCUGUUUCAAUGUGAAGAGACUGAUUUUGACAUCUCCUGAAAGCUAAAACAAUAGUUCUCAUUUCUGUACAGCUAGAUCCGCCGGGGUCACUA